GGCCUCGGGAGAGCAACAAGGCUGGUGCGCUUCAGCCGUUCAAUUUCUGCUUUCCAUUUUUCAUCACGCCUCUGCACUAUUAACAGAAUCUCUGAAGUCAGUCUCAAGUGUAUUUAAUCUGUCCAUGACUGAAUCUAAGUCGGUGGUAAUGGUUGUGAGAGCAGGAAGUGUGAGGUAAGAUGUGUUUCCCUCAUCUCCAAUGCUUUGUUCAUUCUCUUCUGGGUCUGAUACGUAAAGUGAACUAAUUAGUGAUGUUACUUCCCCCACAGGAAUUCUUCUAGUGACCCAUGCAUCUCCCCUUGGUUCAUGGUGCAGUUCACUAGGCCCAUGCCCUGAUGCAGACCUAUCUGUUUCCUGGUUGGAAUUUAAAGACUAUAGCGCAAUCCUGGGAAAGACUUGAAGUUUUCCUUUAGUUUGGACUUUUAGUUUAAUUUUGUGGACUGAGACAAGGGGGGGGGGGGGGGAUUCAAGUAUUGUGUGGGUGCACGGAAUAAUUGGUGCAUUGAUAAUAUACCGCGCUAAGCGCAUUAUUCAAUUGAA